AUNCGCGNCCCUAUCAUGCNAGGUCGCAGUCGGAUCUUCAUUAGCUUGCUUUUGAAGAUCANCGGCGGACGGGUGAGUAACACGGUGGGCAACCUGCCUGUAAGACUGGGAUAACUUCGGGAAACCGUGAGCUAAUACCGGAUAAUCCUUUCCCUCACAUGAGGGAAAGCUGAAAGACGGUUUCGGCUGUCACUUACAGAUGGGCCUGCGUCGCACUAGCUAGUUGGUGAGGUAACGGCUCACCAAGGCAACGAUGCGUAGCCGACCUGAGAGGGUGAUCGGCCACACUGGGACUGAGACACGGCCCANACUCCUACGGGAGGCAGCAGUAGGGAAUCUUCCGCAAUGGACGAAAGUCUGACGGAGCAACGGCGCGUGAACGAUGAAGGNCUUCNGGUCGUAAAGUUCUGUUGUCAGAGAAGAACAAGUNCCGGAGUAACUGCCNGUACCUUGACNGUGCCUGACCAGAANGCCNCGGGUAACUACAUGNCNNCANCCNCUGUAAUACGUAUGUGGCAAGCGUUGUACUGAAUUAUUGGGUGUAAAGCNCGCGCAGGCCGNUCCUUAAGUCUGAUGUGAAAGCCCCCGGCUCAACCCUGGAGGGUCAUUGGAAACUGGGGAACUUGAGUGCAGAAAAGGAGAGCGGACUUCCUCAUGUAUCGNUGAAAUGCGUAGAGAUGUGGAGGAACACCAGUGGCUGAUCGCGGUUCUUUCGCCNUGUUACUGACGCUUCAGGCGUCGAUACGUGGGGAGCGAACAGGAUUACAACCCGUGGUAGUCCACACCGUAAACGAUGAGUGCUAAAUGUUAGAGGGUUUCCUCCCUUUAGUGGCGCAGCAAUNGCAUUAAGCACUCCGCCUGGGGAGUACGGACGCAAGGCUGAAACUCNAAGGAAUUGACGGGGGCCCGCACNAGCGGUGGAGCAUGUGGUUUAAUUCGAAGCAACGCGAAGAACCUUACCAGGUCUUGACAUCCUGUGACAACCCUAGAGAUAGGGCGUUCCCCUUCGGGGGACAGAGUGACAGGUGGUGCAUGGUNGUCGUCAGCUCGUGUCGUGAGAUGUUGGGUUAAGUCCUGCANCGAGCGCAACCCUUGAUCUUAGUUGCCAGCAGUCAGUUGGGCACUCUAAGGUGACUGCCGGUGACAAACCGGAGGAAGGUGGGGAUGACGUCAAAUCAUCAUGCCCCUUAUGACGUGGGCUACACACGUGCUACAAUGGAUGGAACAAAGGGUCGCCGAAGCCGCGAGGUCGAGCCAAUCCCAUAAAUCCAUUCUCAGUUCGGAUUGCAGGAUGCAAUCUCGCCAUGCANGAAGCAGGAAUCGCUAGUAAUNGCGGAUCAGCAUGCNGCGGUGAAUACGUUCCCGGGCCUUGUACACCACCGCCNGUCACACCNUGAGAGUUUGUAACACCCGAAGUACGGUGGGGUAACCUUUANUGGAAGCCAGCCGNUUAAGGUGNCAAU
rnacentral:rRNA from 1 species